AAAUGGCGGCGGCGCUGGGCACCUAGGCCGGCGGGGGCCAUGAGCGCCGCCCGGCCCCAGUUUAGCAUCGAUGAUGCCUUCGAGCUGACCCUGGAGGACGCGGGGCCUGGGCCCGAGUCCAGCGGGGUCGCCCGCUUCGGGCCGCUGCACUUCGAACGCCGGGCUCGGUUCGAGGUGGCUGAUGAAGACAAGCAGUCCCGGCUACGCUACCAGAACCUGGAAAAUGAUGAGGACGGAGCCCAGGCCUCUCCGGAGCCGGAUGGGGAAGUCAGCACCAGGGAUUCUGGGCACAUGUCUGUCCGCAGCUCGCAGUGGUCCUUCAGCACCAUCAGCAGCAGCACUCAGCGCUCCUACAACGCCUGCUGCAGCUGGACCCAACAUCCUUUGAUCCAGAAAAACCGCCGGGUAGUGCUGGCCUCCUUCCUGCUUCUGCUGUUGGGGCUAGGUGAGUGUCCUAAGGGCCUAAAACUUCCUCCCUCCUAUGAGCAGGCUCUGAAGCACCUUAGCACCCUAGGCCUCCCUGUUGGUACUGAGCAUACAGGGCUGUCAGGGGAUUAGCCCCACUCUCCUGAUCAUCUGGCCAGAGUCACAAAGGGAGGGAAAAAAAUGGAACCUGGUUCAGUACUUUUUAAAGUAUUUCCUUUUUUUUUUUAAUUUUUUCUCUAUUUUUGUUUGUUUGUUUGUUUGUUUGUUUUUGUGUUGUUGUUGUUUGAGACAGGAGUUUCUCUGUGUAGUCCUGGCUCUCCUGGAACUCACUAUCUAGACCAGGCUGGUCUGGAACUCACAGAGAUCUGCCUGCCUCUGCCUCCCUAGUACUAGGAUUAAAGGCGUCCACCACAACCACCCAGUCUUUUUUUGAAGUUUCUAAAAAUUAUUUUUCUCAUAUUUUUGUUUUAUGUGUAUGUAGAUGUGCCAUGUGUGAGCAAUGUCCAAGGAGGUCAGAAAAGGGAAUUGGAUCCCUGGAGCUGGAGUUGCAGAGGGUUAAGAGCCACUGUGUGGGUGCUGGGAACCAACUCUGGGUCCUCUGCAAGAAUAAUAUGUGCUCCUAACCUCUGAGCCAUCUCUCCAGUUCCUUACCCCCUUUUUAAGUUGUUUUGAGACAUAGCCCAGACAGUGAGGUAUGAUCUUGAACACUUGACCAUUCUACCCCUACUUCCCAUGAUCUGGAAUUAGAGUUAUAUGCCAUUAUGCCCAGCUUACCUUGGUUUUUGUUUUUUGGUUUGUUGUUGUUGUUGUUCUGUUUUGUUUUUAAAGGUUUAUUUAUUUAUUAUAUGUAAGUACACUGUAGCUGUCUUCAGACACCCCAGAAGACAGCAUCAGAUCUCAUUACGGAUGGUUGAGCCACUAUGUGGUUGCUGGUAUUUGAACUCAGGACCUUUGGUAGAGCAGUCAACGCUCUUAAUAGCUGAAUCAUCUCUCCAGCCCUACUUUCUUAUUUAUUUAAUUAUUAAUUUAUUUAUUGUUUUUUCUAGGCAGGGUUUCUCUGUGUAGCCCUGGCUGUUUUAGAGCUUGCUAUGUAUACGGGGAUGGCCUCAAACUCAGAGGUCCUGCCUCUGCCUUCCAAAAGCUAGGAUUAAAGAUACAUGCUGCCUGCACACCCCCGCCCCAGUUGUUUGGGUGUUUGUUUGUUUGUUUGUUUGUUUGUUUUAACUCAGCCUGAGGAUGAGUUAGGCCACCAGAGGAUGGAGAGGUAACAGUUUCCAGUGAUUCUGUGCUGACUAUUGACAGGUCCGUUGUUUUCACCUUAGAGAGGUGAGCAGCAUCCAGAAUCUGUUCAUGAAGGCAGGCCAGGUGCUGGGGAUACUGAGGCCAGGUAUCAGCUGUGGUCUGUGAUCAGACCAGGACCUUUCUCCACAUCACAUUGUUCAGUGAAGGAAACUGAGGUCCAGCGUAGGCAGAUUUAACAGCCACGUAUUUCCGUCUUCUUUAUGGGACUGAGAUGCAGUGUCCCAGAGCAUCCAGAGUUGGGAUCAACAUGGGGCCAUGAAGACUAACCGUGGCUGCCCCCCUAGGUCCUCUUCCCUUCCUUCUCCAGGAAGGUCAAAACUCCCAGCCAUCCAGGUCUCCUGGCCAGAAAUCUAAUCUCCAUCUCUAGGUGUUUGAGUUUAGGACACAGAGCUGCUCCUUGCUGGCACCACUUCAGGCCAGGCAGUGGUGGCACCUAUCGCUAGCUUCUCCUCGACCCAGCAAAGCAAGUGUUGCUAGCAUCCUGGCUUGGGAAGUAAGGCACAAGCUCAGGCAGGAGAGCGGGCUUCCUCGGCUGCAACUGGAAGACAGAUGGCCUGCGAUUGAGACCCAACCCAUGACCGCCAAGCUUUGGGAUCACCAGAAAGCCACAAAAGGCUCGAGGGAAUGCUACUCUAAGAGAAGGAUGUUUACUCUAAGAGAACAGAACUGAAGCCCUAAACCAGGGUCAGGCAAUGAGUGUGAACCUCCUUUUGGGUGCUCUUUGUAGAACAUGAAAUAUACAAAAGUCCAUGGUGGCCCCUGGCUUCACCCUCCCCAAUCAGUGAGUCCAGCUAUGACCUCUCCACCAAAGGCCAUAUCCCUGCCUGGGACAAUGUGCUGUCCCAGAUUUCUCUAGCCCGGGUUCUUCUUGUUCAGUCCAUCAAGUGCUUGACGCUCUUAGAAAGUGUCAGGUUCCUUCCAGACUCUGAGGCUUGACUGUGCUGUUCCCUCUAUACUGAAUUCUCUCUGUGUGGAUGGUCCAUCUACAGCUGCUGUGUCCCAUCGGGUCAUGGUUUAGUUUAUCAAGGCAUUGCAUGUAUGCUUAGCUCAGGGCCUGCCAGUGAUAUCAUUCCUGUCAUUCCUGCCAGGCUUAGAGGUUACUGUCUCCUGGGCUGACUUGAGGCAGUUGUUUCAAGCUCUCUCACAGACCUCUUUCCACACAUAGAUCGUAGCUUUCAGGAUCUUGUUGGUCCGUCCACUAAAAAAGGCCGUGGGGCAGGGGCCUACUGCCCUUCCAUUACAUUCUUUCGUUUGUGUGUUUGUGGGUGGAGGAGGGAAUGUAUGCCACAGCUCAAAUGUUCAUUUUUGUCUGUGUGGGUGGAGGAGGGCAUGUAUGCCACAGCUCAGUGUGGUCAGAGGGUAACUUGCAGGAGUCAGUUCUCUGCUUCCACCAUUUGGGUCUGAGGAAUUGAACUCAAGUAGUCAGAUUUUGUGGCAAACUCUUUUUACCCACUGAGCCAUCUUGCUGUCCCCAUAUGCCCCCCUGUCCUUCCCCUCCACAAUCAUGUGUGCAGUGCUUAUCCUGGUCGGCGUGGGACUGGAGGUGGCCCCCUCUCCAGGUGUCUCCAGUGCCAUCUUCUUUGUGCCGGGCAUCCUGCUGUUAGUCCCAGGAGUCUACCAUGUGAUCUUCAUCUACUGUGCUGUCAAGGGCCGCCGGGGCUUCCAAUUCUUCUACCUGCCCUACUUUGAGAAGUGAGCUGCAACUGGCCAGUGGCUCACCAGUGAUCCAAGGCCUCAGGUCACCUCCACGUGUCCACAGGGUAUUCCUCCAACCUACACCUGGUUCUGUUCCUUUCAUCUGGAAGGCAGAGACCCCCUAGGACCCUCACAACCACCAGGCCCCUUUGAAUUUGCUCAGGAAGUUUGGAGCAGGCCAGCCUGAGGAUAUUGCCUCUUACCUGAUGUGUGCCUUAACUUAUUCCUAGGUUCUGGACUCCUGGGUUGGUGUAAUUUUGUGCUAAUAAAAGAGUAAUUACUUCCAAC
ensembl:processed_transcript